rnacentral:lncRNA from 1 species
CGUAUUACCAAUAAAUAAAUAGUAAGAAAAUAUAGCUUCCAGCACAUAUCCUCAAAAGUUUUAAACACCAUUCAUAAGGACGAUAGUUUAGAAAACUAAAGCAUCAAAAUCUCUUUUACUAUAAACACUUCAAUUAUUUCAACCUAUUGGAUACGAAAAUAGUGCCCCACAAAAUAAAGGGGCUUAAGACUCAAAAUAAAAGUCAAUAUAAAAUAACCAUAACUAACCAACCAUUUUGCUAAAUGAAUAGAGAAGAAGUGCAUUAUCUAUGUCUAUAUUUAUACAUACAAACAUACAUACACAUAUACAUAUAAAGAGAGGGAGUGAAAGAUAAAGAUCACCCAUCCUCCACAUCCAAAGUCUAACAUCUUAAGGACGAUAAAAAUAGAUCAAAUAUAGCUAUUACUACAGUUUACCACAGAGUAGCAUCAUCUUUGGAUAACUGUCAAUCUCAUCAUAUCAACCUCCAUCACGACGAGGUUAACCCUCAAUAAGAGCUAAUAUUUUACAUAUUCUUGUUCUUCUCUAUUUUUACAAGUAAUUGAUGUUGUGUGCCACCAGUUGAUUGCACUAGUGCCACGCUAAAAAGAAACAAGUAUAUUAGCUAGGUAAUUAAUGCAACUUAACAAUGGUAUGUUAGCAAUAAUAUAAAACAUUGAAUGGGUACAAACUAAAAUUAUGACUAACCCCCAAGCCAAAUAUAAGAAUUCAAUGGAUAAAAAUUAAAUAAAAAUAGCCCAAGAAAAGACAAAUUUUUUUUUGUUCUCAUCUAUAUAUGCACUAAAAGAGCAACUAUCUUCGUGCAUUUGAUAUGCUAUACCUCAUAUUACCAUAUUCACAAUAUUUUCAAAUAUGAUAAAUAUUCUUAAUCUCCUUUUGGUAAGUGCAUACAAGGAAAAAUAAUCCCAUUAUUUAUAAAAUUUCUCUUGAAAGGAAAAUUAAGAAAUCUUGAAGUGUUUGCUUCCCUUAGAAAACCUUAAAGCAAACAUUAGCAUGUGUAUAAUUUUAUGUGUUGCAUUUUAUUAAGGUGUUCAUAAAUUCCAAUGACUUGGCGUGCAUGCACGCUUUCCCUAACCAGCCGGUUGAUCACAUAAGUCGAUCAACGACCCAUUUUUCAUGCAUGUGAUCCGACGAAUCACAUGAUUCCUCCCCUUGGUACUUAAACUCUACUUUUCUUCUUCAUUCUUCAUUUUCUUCUCUCAUCUCCUUUUUCACUCGAAAGGAAAGAAUAAAACUUAUGAAAGAGAAGGACCAACCUGAGAGCACCAAAGGCUUUCUUCCUCCUCUGCCGUGAAAGGUUUCCACUGUGCUUUCUUCCCUUAGCCUGCACAAAAACAUUUCACACCCCCUUGGGUGACCACAAUUGUUCUUUUCUUCUCUCAAUAUGAAAGCCUCUCAUUUUUUAAAAAACCAUUUAAUCUGUCUUUAGUAUGGGACCUAAUAUUUCUUCAUACACUUCUAUUAAGAUUUUUAGGAUUUUAAGUUAUUUAAAAUUUAAAAAUGCAUAUAAGUAUGUGAUUUGUUCAUGUAUGUAUUUUUGAUAUUUUAAAAUUGCAUUUUAUCAAAUGUUUGAUAGAGUUUUUUAUUGUUUUUUAUGCCUAUAUGUCAGUAUGUUAAUGCAUGCUCACAAAGGGACAUGAAUGUUUGAAAUCUAUAAAAUGUGACAAUGAAAAAUGGAUUUGAGAUAGAUUUGGACACCAAGGUGAUGAGAAUGAUUGUAGUUCGUGGCUAUGCUGUAACCACAUGCACGAGGGAAACUAUCCUGACACGCCUAUGUGCCAGGACAAGGCUUAGGCCUGCUGCGUGCAGCAGUCGUGUAACUGAAGGGACCUGCUGCGUGUGCGUAUGAAUGUGUGCGUGCGCGCACAUGACCUACUAGGCAUCUCAGCACACCGAGAGGCCCGCACGAGCAAGGUGGAGUGAGCAUACACAGAUAAUUGUAUCGUGUUCCUAGUGAGCGCGUACCCACAUUUGCACGUGUUGUGCGUGAGGGCCUAUCCCAACAUGCCUAGGGUGGCGGGACAACAUGCCCGGGGCACGCCACUCGUGCUAGAAAAAUGGUGCGGGUUAGGCUCUCUGCCUUGCUUUUUUGGAUAAAGGCCGAGAGGGUUACCCUAAUUAGACCUCGGCCCAAGAGGGGGACCUCAUGGUCUAAUUCGAUUUAUGGUCCCCUAAUUGGGCCAGGUUUGAUUAAUAGGUCCUUAUUGGGUUAGGUCAGUUAGUGGAUGCCCACUGGGUCCGGGUCAGGUUUAUGGGCCCUUAUUGGGCGAUGUCUAUUAGUGGGCCCCCACUGGGUCUAAGUUUGGUUAAUGGGCCUUUGUUGGGUUGGGUCGAUUAGUGGACCCCACUGGAUUUGGGUCAGGUCAGUUAAUUGACCCUUGUCGGGCUAGGUUUGACCAAUGAACCCUUAUCGGGUCUAAGUUUAUUUGGUGGGCCCCAUUUGGAUCCAGGUUUGGUUAGUGGACCCCUGUUGGGUCCCUAUUCAAUUAUUUGUUCCUUAGUGGGCCCACAAGAUUGGGAUUAGGGUAGUUUGGAAAAUUAGGAAAUCGAUAGAGUUUAAAAGCGGACUAAAAAACGCAAUGGGUCGAAGUGAAUUCUAUGAAAUGUAAUUUAGAGUGUGACUCUGUAAUUCAUUAAGAAUAAAGAAAUGAUUGAAAUUUGUUUGAUCAUUAUCACUAAGGGGUGACUGAAUAUGACUGUUACUAACUGUUAGUGAACCAUUUCCUAUGAUGGUAUUAGUUUUCCCUUCAACGAGAGCAAAUCGUGAUUGAUUGUAAAGGUUAUAGUAACAAAGUACUACCAUUGUCGUAGUCUCUAACUAAAUUACCAUACAUUGAAUUUAAUUGUUUCCUAUUUAUAGUGGUAGUGUAAAGGUACCCUUUGCCCUUUGUUGAUAUAGGUCUAAACAGUUUUGUGUAAAGGUCUGUAAAUAAUGAAACUAAACCAUGUAUCCUAAUUGGAAUAGCUAGGACUGUUGUUUGUUACUCUAUGUUUUAGAUAGUCUUCCUUGUGUUGGUUAUAUUUCUCACUAUUCCGUCUUAUUAUGCCAUGUCUUUAGACAGUUUUCCCAGUAUUGAUUAUAUUUCUUACUGUUUUAUGUUAUUACUUAUUGAUUAAGACAUGUACUUUAAAAAUGAUUUUCAGUAGUAAAAAAUGUGAAGUUUUUAGCAGUACUUCAAAUAAACAUAAUGAUAUAAUUGCAUCUUCAAUGAUUUCUAAUGGUAAAUACUGUGACUUUAGAGGAAACUUCAUUUUUCUUAAAAAUAAAUGUAAGCUUUGAAACUUUAGUAGUGUAGUUUAAAUACUAUUUUUCUUACUGAGUUUUAUGGAACUCACUCCAAAUCUAUUUUCCUCAAAUGAUGUAAAAAGUGAAGAUUCACUCCCCGAGCUACCUCUUGAAGUGUGUUUGGAUUGGUUUGCAUACCAGUAGUGAAUGAUUGAGAGAUCUGAAUAUUUUAUACUCUAAUGAACGAUAUUUUAUAACAGUAAAAGUGGCCAUGAUGAUCUUAGAAAAUGCUCAAUUAGCCUAGGAACUCCUUGCUGCCAGUUAUCGGUAUAUCCAAAAUGUCAUACAACACCAGUAGAAAAGAAGACAGAUUGAUCAAGAUCGUACUGAUAAGCGACCCAGAACAACCCCUACAGUGUGUGUUGCUCCACCUGGCCUCCACCUCUAGUAACCCUUCUCAACUUACUCAGGUAUGCCAACAUUGUGGCAGGAACCAUGGAAACUGCCCCUGCUAAAAGUUGAACAAAGCAUGUUACAAGUAUGGUAGUACACAACAUUUUAUGAAGGAUUGUCCUCAAAAGCCUAAAGAUGCUGUUAGACCCGUUGCCAGAGGAAGGAUCUUCCAUCUCGAUGAACUUGGUGUUGUUGUGAUGUUGGCCAUCAUUUUAGGUACACUUUCUAUUCAUGAUUCCAUAGCUCGUACUUUGAUUUAUACUAGUGCCACCCAUUCCUUUAUGUCUUGUGGAAGCUCCAAGUGUCUACUAGUAAAAACAUAAUCCCCGGGACAAACCUUGAUCAUAGAAACACCCUUCAGGGGACCUUUAGAGGCUCAUGUAGUGUAUAAGGCUUGUAAGGUAAACAUUUCGGGUAGAAAGUUGACCAUAGACCUAAUACUCUUAGAUUUUUUAGGUUUUGAUGUGAUUUUGGGCAUGGACUGGCUAGAAGCCUAUCAUGCCAUUAUUGAUUGUUACAAUAAAAUUGUAACCCUCUGUCCUUCUGAGAAGAAAGAUUUUAGGAGAAAUGUUUAAAACUUUAUUUUGUAUAAACUUCUAUUUUGUAAUUAAGUAGAUGUUUUGAAUUAAAAUGCUUAAUCUUUUAAAUUUGACAUGUGUGUUGGAAUUUGAAUAAAUUAUUUGUUUUUUUUCUAACUUCUUUAUUGCAUAAGUAAAUGGACUCUGAGAAUGCCAUGCAGUCAAUCCUAAUUGUCUGUAACUACCCAGACGUAUUUUUGGAGGAGUUUCUAAGUCUGCCACCCAGGCGGGAGAUUGAAUUCUCCAUCAACCUAGUUCCAGGGAUGUAACUCAUUUCUAAAGCCACCGACUGUAUGAGCCGUGCAAAACUUUGGGAAUCGAAUUGUCGAUUGAUUGCACUACAAGAGAAGAGAUUUAUCAGACCUAGUAAUUCACCAUGGGUGCCCUGGUCCUAUUUACCAAAAAGAAGGAUGAGACUCUCUAGUUGUGCAUUGACUACAGGGAGCUCAAUCAGGUGACAAUAAAGAACAAGUAUCCUUUGCCUCGCAUCGACAACCUAUUUGACCAGUUACAUGAUGCAUAAGUCUUUUCUAAUAUUAAUUUCAAAUCGGGUUAUCACCAAUUGAGGUUUAGAGCCGAAGAUAUACAUAAGAUGGUGUUCUAUUGCAGGUAUAGUUAUUUCGAAUUUAGGGUCAUGCCUUUCAGACUAACCAACACUCAUGUAAUGUUUAUGGACCUCAUGAACCAGAUUUUCAAGCCUACACUAAAUAUUUUCAUUAUUUUUUUCAUUAAUGACAUUCUUAUAUAUUCCAAGGACCAUCAGGAACAUGCUGACCAUCCAGCUUAUGUUUUAAAGACUAUCAAAUGAUACAAAUUAUAUGCCAAGUUUAGUAAGUGCUCUUUCUGAUUAGAACGGAUAUUCUUCCUUAGUUAUGUUAUCUCGGGUAAUGGUAUUUCUUUGGACCCCUCAAAAGUUUAGGCUGUGAUUUAUUAGAGUCAAUUGAUCAAUGUUACUGAGGUCUAUAGCUUUUUGGGUUUGGCAGGAUACUAUCCUCGUUUCAUUGAAGACUUUUUUCGCAUUGUUGUCCCUUUGACUUACCUCACAUAAAGGAGUGUUGUUUUCUAUUAGGACCUCAACUAUGACAAAAGCUUUUUCAAACUCAAGCGUCAACUGACUUCUACCCCUGUACUGAUUCUUCUUGAUGGUACCAGCUAUUUUUAAGUUUACUAUGAUGCCUCUCGCAUUGGUUUGAGUUGUGUGCUUAUGCAGCAUGGUCGAGUAGUAGCUUUGAUUCCAAGUAGUUGAAGUCACAUGAACAGAACUACCUCACUCAUGAUCUUGAGUUGGCAGCCAUAGUCUUUGCUCUCAAGCUGUGGUGACACUAUAUGUAUAGUUAAACCUUUGAGAUCUAUACCUAUAUAAAAGUUUGAAAUACUUGCUCUCCCAGAGAGAACUCAAUACGAGGCAAAGACAUUGGAUGGACCCCCUAAAGGAUUAUAACUAUAAUAUCCUAUACCACCCCUGGUAAAAAGAAAUAUAGUUGUCUAUGCUCUUAAUAGGAAGAACUUGGCCUUGUUAGCCCAGAUGAUAGUUUCAAAAUGGAGGAUGCUCGAGACGAUCCAAGGUUUCUGAUUGAACCAUUAUGGUGAGGGCUCCUAUCUUGCCCAAAUUUGCAUCCAGCCUACUCUCAUCCAGAGAAUCAGGGAAGCAUAGUUUACGGAUCAUGAGGUAGAGAGACAGAAGGAGAAGUUGAAAUUUAGGGAUCAAUCUGACUUCAAAAUGUUUAAUGACAGAAUCUUUAGGUUUCGAGACUGAUUAUGGGUGCCUGAUGACCCUGAACUUAGGUUGGAUGUUUUGAAGGAAGCUCAUGCCUCUAAGUUGGCAAUCCAUCUUAGUAGCAUAAAGAUGUAUUGGAAUUUAAGACCCUAUUCUAGUGGUUAGGUAUGAAGCAUGACAUAGUUGACUUUGUCUUCAAAUGUCUUACUUGCUAACAGGUUAAGAUAGAACAUCCCCUAGUGGUCUUCUAUAAUGCCUUCCCAUCCCAGAAUAAAAGUGGGAACAUAUAACCAUGGACUUUGUCACAGGGUUACCAGAGCCUGAAUUUGCACCCAGUGCAAUUUGGGUCAUAAUUGACAGAUUAACUAAAUAGGUCUAAUUCUUGGCAAUGAAGACCAUAGAUUCAGUUAGUAAGUUGGUUGGGUUAUAUGUUCAAGAGAUAGCUAGACUCCAUGGUAUUCUAGUUUCUGUGGUGUCUGACAAGGACUCUCAUUUCACAUCCCAAUUUUGGACCAGCUUUCAAGAAUCUUUAGGCACCAAUCUAUCCUUCAGCACUGUUUACUACCCACAAACUGAUGGUUAGUCUGAAAGGACCAUUCAAAUGCUGAAGGAUAUGUUAAGAGCCUGUGCAUUGGAGUUUAGUGGUAGGUGGGAUAGACAUUUACCAUUGGUGAAAUUUACUUACAACAACAGCUAUCACUAAAGUAUUGGUAUGGCUCCUUAUGAAGUCCUUUAUGGCAGACCAUGUUGAUCCCCUACUUAUUGGAAUGAAGCUGGGAAUAGAUGUCUUACAGGGAUAUAUACCAUUCAAGAGACGAUUGAUAAAAUUUCUAUCAUCCGCAAAAAUCUCACCACUACUCAAAAGCCUACAGAAGAGUUAUGUCGAUGAUCACAUAGAAUUUACUGUGGUGAGUGUUUUCCUCAACGUUUUUUCAUACAAGGGAAGCAUGCGUUAUGAUAAGAGAGGAAAAUUAAGUUUUUAUUUUGUGGGACCUUUCGAGAUACAAAAACAUGUUGACUUAGUGGCUUACUGUAUUGCUUUGUCACUAGAAUUCAUGGGUCUACAUGAUAUAUUUCAUGUCUCAAUGCUCAAGAAAUACCACCAUGACCCUUCUCACAUCAUUCCUCAUCGAUGACUCUCAACCUGUUCGGACAUGUCAUAUGCAAAGAUCCCAUCGAGAACAUUGAUCGGCAAAAGAAUGUCCUAAAAAACAAGACAAUCCCCAUGGUUAAGGUUAUUUGGGAGUAUCACUCCCCUGAAGAAGCUACUUAAAAACUCUAAGAUGAGAUAUAGGAAAAACAAUUCGAAAUAUUUUAAAAUUUUAAAUUUAGAGGAUAAAGUUUUGUAAAGAGGGGAGGAUGUGACACUAUUGAACCUAUUUGAUAUCGGAAGCAUGUGUUUUGAAUUUUAAAUUCUAUUUUGAUAGUUAAAAUGUUUACAUGCACAUUUACAGUAGUAAAAUUAUUCUAAAAAGGGUUAUUUAGAAACUUGAAACAUAUAAAAAACACCUCGCAAGAAAUAGCCCGCAAGUACGCGUGUAGGUACACAAGCCUUACGAAUAGAAGCCCACAUGCUUGCACACCCGCAUGCUCGCAUGACUAUAUGUCUGCAUGUCUGUGAAACAAUACCAGCAUGCCUCGCCCAAGUCAAAGACUAUCCGCCACAGUGCCACCUACGGCUGCUGCUACCAAUUUGCGUGUAUCCAUGACUUCCCUCACCAGCCGAUUAGCCACUUAGGCCAAUCAAAAACCCAUUUUCAUAUAUGUGAUUCGACGGAUCACAUGGUUCCUCCCCUUGGUAUUUUAAUUCCACUUUUUUUCUUCAUUCUUUAUUUUCUUCUCUCUUCUCUUUUUUCACUCGAAAUGAAAAAAAAAACUUGUGUGAGAGAGAGGACUAAUUCGAGAGCACCAAAGGCCUUCUUCCUCCUAUGUCGUGAAAGGUUUACACCAUGCUUUUUUCCCUUAGCCCACACAAAAAUGUUUCACACCCCCUCAAAUGAUCGUAGUUGCCAUUCGCUUCCCUCAACAUGAAAGCCUCUCAUUUCUUAGAAAACCAUUUAAUCCGUCUUCGAUAGGGGACCUAGUAUUUUUACGUACACUUCUAUUGGGCUUUUUAGGAUUUUAAGUUGCUUAAAAUUUGACAAUGCAUGAAAGUAUCUUAUUUGUUCAUAUAUGUGUGUUUGAUAUUUUAAAAUCAUAUUUUAUAAAAUGUUUGAUGGAAUUUUUGAUUGUUUUAUAUGCCUAGAUGUCAGUAUGUUAAUGCAUGCUUAAAAAGGGACGUGAAUGAUUGAAAUCUAUAAAAUGGGACGGUGAAAAGGGGAUUCAAGAAAAGUUGGGGCACCAAAGUGUUGAAAGUGAUCGCAGCUCGUGGUUGUGCCAUGACUGCGAACGCGAGGGACAUACACACCCAUGUGCUAGGGCAAGUCUCUGGCCUGCUGUGCGUGUGCAGCAGCCGUGCACAGGAACACAGGUCCCCCUAGGUGUGUCAGCACACUGAAAGGACAUACUGUGUGUGCGUGUGUGCACAAGUCAAUAUGGGUGCGUGCAUAUGCAGCUUGCCUGACAUGUCAGCACGUCGAGAGGCCCAUACACGCGAGGUGAGGAACAACAUGCCUAGCACACUGUAUCGUGCUACCUUGCUGAGCACACAUGCAUAUGCACACAUUAUGUGUCAAGGUCUAUCCCAACACGCCUAAGGUGCCCUUAUUGGACCGAGUCGGUUAGUGGACCCCCACCAGGUCCAGGUUGGGUUGGUGGGCCCUUGUUAGGUUGGGUCGAUUAGUUGACCCCAUCAGUUCUGGGUCAGGUAUGUUGGGCCCUUAUAAAGCUGGAUCUAUUAAUGGACCCUUGUCAGCCCGGGUUUAGUCAAUGGACCCUUAUCAGAUCUAGGUUUGUUUGGUGGUCCCGUUUGGGUUCAAGUUUGGUCAGUGGACCCUUGUUGGGUCCCGGUUCAAUUAUUUGUUUCUUAAUGGGCUUCAAUGAUUAGGAUCUCGAUAGUUUGGGAAAUUGAGAAAUCGAUAGGGUUUAAGAACAAGACUGAUGGAUCCAAUGGGUCAAAGUGAAUUCUAUGAAAUGUAAUUUAAACUGUGAUUCCAUAAUUUGUUAAGAAUAAAUAAAGGAUUGAAAAUUAUCACUGAUGAGUAACUGAAUAUGACUAUUAUUGAUUGUCGGUGAACCACUUCCUGUGAAUGGUACUGGUUUUCUCUCUUACGAGAGUGGAUCGUGAUUAAUUAUAGGGAUCACAAUGGUAAAAUACUAUCAUGGUCAUAGUCUUUAACUGAAUUACCGUAUAUUGAAUUGAAUUAUUUUCCAUUCACAAUAGUAGUCGGAUAUCUCCUCUACCCUCCAUUGAUGUAGGUUUAAACAUCUUCACGCAAAGAUUUGUAAACAAUAAAACUAAACAAAGUAACCUGAUUGGAAUAGCUAGGACUGUUAUUUGUUACUCUAUGUUUUAGAUAAUCUUCCUUGUGUUGGUUAUGUUUCUUACAGUUCCAUCUUAUUAUGUCAUGUCUUUACAUAGUUUUAUCUGUGUUGGUUAUGUUUCUCACUAUUUCGUCUUAUUGCUUAUGGAUUGAGGCAUAUAUUUCAAAAAUGAUUUUUAAUAAGUAAAAUUUUUAAGUUUUCAACAAUUCUUUAAAUAAAUAUAAUAAUAUAAUGGCAUCUUCAGCGAUUUCUGACAGUAAAUACUAAAACUACAGAAGAAAUGCCACUUUUCUUAAAGAUAAAUACAACAUUUGAAACUUUAGUAGCAUAGUUUAAAUAUUAUUUUCCUUACUGAGUUUUAUGAAAAUCAACCCAAAUUUAUUUUCCUUAAACGAUGUAAAAAGUGAAGAUUCGCUUCCCGAGCUAUCUCUUGAAGCAUGUUUGGAUCUGUUCGCAGACUAGUAGUGGAUGAUUGAGCGCAUGUGAAUAUUUUGUACUAUGAUGAACAAUAUUUUGUAAUAGUAGAAGUGUCUUAAACAAUCUCUAUAAAUAUUCUUGUUAGUCGACUUCUUUUCCUCAUAUGUGUAUGAACAUCAAUUUUUUGUAAGGGAUGAAAUUUAUUUCUGCUACAUAAUUCUUUUCUACACUCAUAUAUGUUUUAUUAUUGGACACCAUUACCCAAUCGGAUACUGAGACGUCACACUUUUACUGCUAAUAGUUUAAUUUUUUCAACCUAUUGGACAAGAAAAUAGUGCCCUGUAAAGUAAAGGAGCUUAAGACUAAAAAUAAAAAUCAAAAUAAAAUAACCAUAACUAACCAACCAUUUUACUCAAUGAAGAAAAGAGUUCAUUAUCUAUGUUUGUGUGCAUACAUAUUGUUGCAUAAAAUUAGAAACGUCCACAACACCCAUUGUAAAAGGACUCGACCCUUCAUAGGUCUAUAAGAGAGAAAUCAUUCUUCUAAAAAGAUAUAACUCUUGAUGAGUAUAUAAGGGAGAAAAAAAUUUAUUUAUAUUCACUUAAGAAAGCAAAUAACAUUCAGAAAAAAAAUAUAUUACCAUUCUCUCUCUCAUAUUAAGUUAAAUCAUAAGCUGACGUAGGUUUUGGGGUGUGAAUAUUACUUGGAACUCUAGUAGCAUUUAGGAGAAAAUAAAAAACAUCAACAAUUGUUCUCUGUGGGAAGAAAAGCAAGUAUCUUAUCAUGUUGCUUCUGCAUUAAGAUUAGUCCUAAUUUUCUAACAUUUGUAUCAGAGUCUAAUUGCUUGUAUCUGUCCCUACAAUAAUCAUGCUCCUAUUUGCAUUAAGCUUGUUAUUUUUUUGAUAAUGAAUCCAGAAAACAUGUUUUUUUAUGUAUGUUUUUGUUUUCUAAGAAUCUAAAAACAAAAACACUACAUGAGUGGCGCAUUUAUCUUGCUCUGAUUUUUCUCCUAAAUAUAAAUAUUGAGAUGACUGAAUAUAUACAAGCAUUUGCAGUGGUUGUGGUUGCUGACUAAAAACUGGGUAUUUUGGUUUUUUGCCACAGAGGCAUUUAAAAAGAAAAAAAAAUUAGAGUUUUAGCUAUGGGCAAAAACUGGAAGAAAAAAAAACAAAGAGAGGAAUUGCACUAUGUGUGCUUGCAAAAAAAAAAAAAAAAAAGAGGAGGAUGAUGCACUGUGUGGUGUGUGAAAAAAAAAAAAGAAAAAAAAACAAAGAGAGGAAUUGCACUAUGUGUGCUUGCAAAAAAAAAAAAAAAAAGAGGAGGAUGAUGCACUGUGUGGUGUGUGAAAAAAAAAAGAAAAACAUUGUGUCCAUGCAAUGUAUGCAUGAAGGAAUAAACAAAUUAGGAGAGAAAGAAAAAUGUUGAAGAUAUACGUGUAUGUGUAUGUGUGUGUAUAUAUAUAUAUAUUACUAAAAAAAUUAGGAGGAUGAUGCACUCUGUGUGCCAAAAGAAAAAAAAAAGAAUGCAUUGUGUGUGCGUGAAAGAAGAAGAAAAAAAGGGGAGAGAAAGGAGAUAGAGAUAUAUGUAUAUAUACAUAUAUACAUAUGUAUGCAUAUGUCCGUUUCCUGAAAGAAAAAAAUAAGGUUUUUUUCCUUUAUUUUUUUCUUCUUUUAUCUCUUAUGAUGAUGACUAUGAUUUCAUCAAUUUUGUUUUUUCUCUUUAAGAAAGAAAAAAGAAAAUUUAAAUGUUGAGAUUGGGAAUUGAACAUAUUAAUUGGUUGGCAAUACAUGUAUUUUAAUAGUAUUCCAUAUUUACAUAUUAUUUUAUUAUUUAAACCGCAUGUUAAUAUUUUUAUUAUGUUAUUUUAUCAUUACUGUACUAAUAUAUAUUAAUUAAUUUAUGUACAUUAGUUAGUUACGCAUCUUUUAUUAAAAUUGAGAUAACUACAUAUAUCUAUGUAAUAUUUUUUUAUGCUAAUUAAUUUUGAUAAAAUUAAACGGGUUAUAUAGAUAUGUUCUAUUUAAUUUUUGUUUUAUUANNNNNNNNNNNNNNNNNNNNNNNNNNNNNNNNNNNNNNNNNNNNNNNNNNNNNNNNNNNNNNNNNNNNNNNNNNNNNNNNNNNNNNNNNNNNNNNNNNNNNNNNNNNNNNNNNNNNNNNNNNNNNNNNNNNNNNNNNNNNNNNNNNNNNNNNNNNNNNNNNNNNNNNNNNNNNNNNNNNNNNNNNNNNNNNNNNNNNNNNNNNNNNNNNNNNNNNNNNNNNNNNNNNNNNNNNNNNNNNNNNNNNNNNNNNNNNNNNNNNNNNNNNNNNNNNNNNNNNNNNNNNNNNNNNNNNNNNNNNNNNNNNNNNNNNNNNNNNNNNNNNNNNNNNNNNNNNNNNNNNNNNNNNNNNNNNNNNNNNNNNNNNNNNNNNNNNNNNNNNNNNNNNNNNNNNNNNGAGAAGGAAGUUGAGCGUCAAAAAGGUACUUAAUCCUUCUAAUGUGGCACUUGUUGCUAUAGGUUUAGACCAAGGGAAAUAAGCCUUAAUCGUGCUAAGCAAUUUAAGAAAGGUCAGCACUCUUUUCAAGCCAAUGGACCUAAAAGUGGUGUGGUCAAACAACAUAAGACAAACGGCCAUAGAGAGAAAAAUGUAGCGCGUAUGAAGUGUUAAAACUACAACAACAAAAGUCACUUCGUUCGUCAUUAUUUCGAGCCGAAGAAGGCAACUUUCUCUAUUUUGCCUCUUGAUUUAUUUAUUUGUUCCCAUGCAUUAGUUGCUAAUUCUUUUUCUAAUUGGAUUGUAGACACAAGAGCAAGUAAAUAUGCAGUUCAAGGUCGAGUUGGAUUCGUGGACUACCAUCGUGUCCCGGUGGGUUUGUAAACUAUUAUAUUAGGCAAUGACAGUGAAGAGGAUGUCAUUGGAAUUGGAACAUACCAGCUCAAGCUACAUGGAGGAAAUACUUUACUCCUUCAUGAUACUCUCUAUGCACCUGGGGUACAAUAUUGUUUACUUUCAGUUGUUUUUUUAUUGAGAUUGGGUUUCUCUUUUAACUUUAAGUUUGGUACUUUAGACAUUUUAUAUCAUGGUGAUGUAUUUGGUCAUGGGUUUUUAAGAAACAAUUUCUUUGUUCUUGACUUGGAAGAUAAUAUAUAUAAUUAUUUUAUGCUUGCUUAUGUUUCUCACUUUGAUUGUGAUUCUGAAUUUGUUAAGUGGCAUGCUAGACUUGGCUAUAUUGGCCAAGACCGAAUGAGUAGACUGGCUAAAAAAUGUCUUUUAGAUCGACUUACUAAGGUUAAGUUGCCUAAAUGUGAGACAUGUUUAAUUGGUAAAAUGAGUAAGAAGCCUUUUGGUAAGACUUCAAGGGCAUCAAGUCCUUUAGAAUUAAUCCAUUUUGAUAUUUGUGGGCCUUUAAAUAUCAAAGCACAUCAUAGUGCCAUAUACUUUCUCACUUUUAUAAAUGACUAUUCACGAUAUGGAUAUGUGUAUCUAAUUUCUAAUCGCUAUGAAGCACUAGAUAUGUUCAAACUUUUUGUAACGGAAGUAGAAAAUCAAAUGGUUCAAAGAGUAAAGACUCUUCGAAUCGAUCGUGGUCAUGAAUACCUUUCUAAUAUGUUCAAAGAAUACUGUGAGAAAAAAGGUAUAUGUAGGCAACUUAUAAUUUUUCAUAUUCCGCAAUAAAAUGGUGUUGCAAAGCAAAGGAAUUGUACAUUAUUAUACAUGGUUAGAUCAAUGGUGGCAAUGCCAACCUCUCUACUAAUUUUUGGGCAGAUGUGUUGCUUACGGCAACCUACAUCCUUAACUAUGUACCAAGUAAAAGUGUAAUCAUCCCUCUAUAUGAGUUAUAGAAUGACAAGAAACCCAUUUUGGAUAUUUACGUCCUUGGAGGUCGGUAGGCUAUGUGCACAACCUAACCCAUAGGCACGAAAAAAUUAGAUCAAAGAGUAACUAAGAUAGUGUUCAUCAUAUAUCCCGAAUAUUUAAAAGGAUAUGUAAUGUUCGGAGAACACCCAAAUGGUGGCAUGACCGAAAUAAACUCCCACAAUGUUGAUUUUCUUGAGAAUGAAUUCCCAAGCAUUGGUGAAAUAAAAAGGAAUCUUUUACUGUAUGAAUUAUAGGAGGACAUGCAACUAUCUAUUAAUGAGAGGGAGGUAUUGAGAACCUACCAAGUCACCAAAUAUAGUAAUAUUCCACCAAGUAAAAGAGAUAGUGGGAGUGAUCCUACUAUUUUAGAUGGUGGAAACUUUCCUAUAAAUGAUAAUCCACUAAAAAAUAGGUUAGUCCUCAAGAUCCGAAUUUAGAACAUGAGGUUAUUCUUCAAUUUCCAAAUCCCACACUAAGGGACGAUAGGAGAUAUUUGUCAUCUAGUCAGGCAGGUGAUGAAGGUCCUAUAAUCCGAAGGAGUGAACGUGAAAAAAUUCUUCGACAGUAUUUCCAAAUCACAUGAGAAAUUUUUCCAUGCACUCCUUUAGAAAUUGAGGAACCUUUGUAAAGGACCGGAACUUAAAAGGAAAUAAAGUCAUAAAUUAAGUGCGGAAGCGAAAUAAUAGAGUUUAGGGUUUACGUUCCUUACACAAUAAUUUAGAAUGCCCAAUAGGAUUACUGGAAUGACCCUUUUAAAAGAACAAACGAAAAUUAAAGAAAUAAACAAAAGGUAAUAUACUGAGCAUUCUAGGACGACCUUCAUUAUCUUUUGAAGGGAGUCCAAAUGGCGAACUAUGCACAAUCCUCUUAUUGAUCGGGAUUUAGUUCUUGGUCCUCUUGAUCUGAAACAGUUAAUAAAGGGGUGAGGUACACUAGCUCAUUAUGAAUAUUACACUACUCACCGAUACAAAAACUGAAGGUUGGUAAAAAUUAUAAAAAUAACCAAUGGAGCUCUUGAUUAAAUAAAUUCAUUUAUCAUAAAGAAAACCAUUUAUUGCAUAUAUUUACUGUUGCGAGAUUUCUAAAAUCGACCUAUAGAGGCACUAACUCAAAUAACAUUCUAAUAUCAUAUUUAAGUGAGCAAGAACAACAACUUUCUCUUUUUAUUUGUUUACUGGUCUUUCUGGGGGUCCAUAAGGAUGUCCCACUACACGUGAACCAAUAUCCAACAUUGCCAACUAAUCGACCGUCCCCAUACUCCGUCCGGUAUGAGCGCCAAAAAUACCAUCCCUCACUACCUCGUCCGGUAUGAGGGUGAAUCAAGUCGUCUCCAUACCCCGUCCGGUAUGAGUGCUAAAAAUACCAUUGCUCGAUACCCCAUAUGGUGUGAGGUAACAUUCACGGUAGGAUUUUCUAUAUACCCGAUCUGUCCACCAUCUCCCAAGAUAUCCAGUAAGACUACCAUUCAUUAAUUUACAUUACCAAAUAAUUUUUCAUUUGCAUAUUAAUUUUUAAUUUCACAAAUCAACCGUAAAUCAUGCAAGACAUGCAGUAUAUAUCAAGGAAGAACAAUUGAAUCAAUUAACCAUUUCAGUAAAUAAUCAUGUAUUUAAAGUUGUAAAUUCAAAAAUCAUUUAAACAGGACAAAUAAAUAACUAACCAGUUUCGACUCCAUUAAUAACCUGUAAUUAUUCUCAAAGUUCUCUAAAUUACACAAAGUACCAUAUUAUCGAUUAUUAAGCUUCAAUUCCAUAACAGUGAAUAAGGUAAGGGAUUCUUACUCAAAUUAAUGUUUGAAACACUGAACUUUCUACUACUUUUACUGGUAAUCCCUGGGUUUCUUGAAUUUUUUUACAAAGAUUAAAACAUGUUUUACGUACCUAAAAAUAGCCCAAAAAUUCAAAAUCAGUGUUAAAAAUCUUUUUUCGGCCAAUUUCAAAAUUCCAGUACGGCGGCACCACCGUGCUCUGGCUACGGCAUAUCCACCUGCGACAGUGGUUUGCCUUGUCCUGGCCAUUUUUGACCAGUUUUUUUCGAUUUUAUACUUAUCCCUGCGAGCAAACACGUUAGGGGGCCUCGGUUGGUCUAAAAAAUCAAAAAAUAGAAACCUAUCGGUGGCAAGAAUUUUCAAUGUGGCAGCUCUGCUGACUCACCUUGCAAUUGGCCAUUUUUCUUUUGUUAACCUGUAGAAAAUAUAACGAUGAAUACAACGGUGAAAAAAUUGCACGAAAUAGGAAAUGGGAAGGGGCUCAUCAGAGGCAGUUGCUGGUCUUGUUCGCAGUUUUCGGCUCACCCACCAUUCUUUUUGCUCCAAUUUGGCCAUAGGGGUGCUCAGAAUCAAAUUUCGAGUAAAUAGAAGAAUUUUUACCUUUUUGGCGGUCGGAGGUGGCUCUAGCGCGGCGGCGAUCGGUGGUCAGCUCCUUUCUCCGGUGACUAGUUCUUCUUCUCCAGUGGGAGGCUGGCGGCUAGGGUUUGGGUUCGGUGUGAUACGAGAUAUUUAUACCCGUCUCGCAUUAAUCUGGAUCGCUCAUCGUGUUUGAUCUUGACCGUCUAAUCGCAUUUAAAAAAGAACGAAUUUAGACCGUUCAUCGCAUUUAAUCGUGAUCGUCCGAUCACAUUUAAAGAGGGAACGAAUCUGGACUAUUCAUCACAUUUAAUCACGACCGUUUGAUCAUGUUUAAAGAGAGAUGAAUCUGACCGUUCGUCGUGUUUGAUCGGGAUCGUCUGAUCGUGCUGAGAGGGACAAUUCCAUAUNNNNNNNNNNNNNNNNNNNNNNNNNNNNNNNNNNNNNNNNNNNNNNNNNNNNNNNNNNNNNNNNNNNNNNNNNNNNNNNNNNNNNNNNNNNNNNNNNNNNNNNNNNNNNUCAGAGCUGCUAACUGGGCGUCCAACGUGGUAAAAUUUUUUUUAAUUUAUUUUGACUCCAGUUUUUUAUUUUCUUCAGAAACACUAUCCGGACCCAAAUUUUCACCACUUUUUUCCAAAAUUAUUUUUAAUUUUAUCCUCAACGAGUUUUUUCAUAAUUCUACAUUAAAUUAAAAUUUAUAAUUUCAAAAUUAGGUUUUUAUACAUUUUUUUAUGUUGAAAUUAAUCCCAGGCCAAAUUUCGAGUCUGGGUAUUACAAUUCCCUCCCCCCAAAAAAGAAAUUUGGUCCCUCAAAUUUGUCUCUCUCUUACUCAAUCAAACAGUUGGGGAUACUAGAUUCUAAAGUAUGAUUCUAGCUCCCAUGUGGCCUAUCUCUGUGUGUGAUUCUCCCAUAGGACCUUACCGAAAGAAAUUUUUUUGUUACGGAGUACUUUGCUCUUUCAGUCUACAAUGCCCACCGGUACCUCCUCAUAGGAAGAUCCUCCUGGAGUGAAAGGGGCUCUUGGGCCAAGAUGUGAGAGGAGUUCGAGUUGUACUUGUGUAGCAUGGACACAUGAAACACAUUAUGCACUCUGGAUAGUUCUGGAGGUAGUGUCAGUUUGUAGGCGGUGGUACCAAUUCUGUCUAAGAUUUCAAAUAACCCAAUAAACUAUAAAUUUAGUUUAUCCCUCUUUCCAAACUCACUAAUUCCCUUGAAAGGAGUGACCUUAAGAAACACUCGAUCACCUUUCUCAAAUUCCAAAUCUCUGAUCCCAGUGUCCACAUAACUCUUCUGCCUGCUCUGAGCUGUCCGGAUGUUCUUUCUGAUCUUAACUAUUUUUACUGUAGUCUCAUCCACAAGAUCUGGGCCGAACAAUUUUUUAUCAUUCACCUCUUCCCAACAGAUCGGUGAUCUACAUGGUCGGCCAUAUAACGCAUCGUACGGAGCCAUGCCAAUACUUGCUUAGUAGCUAUUAUUGUAGGCGAACUCUAUUAAGGAUAAAUAAUCAUCCCAAUGGCCCUCGAAGUCAAGAACAUAAGCUCAUACCAUAUCCUCCAGUAUGCGGAUCAUUCUUUUUUAUUGUCCAUCGGUCUUAGGGUGGAAUGCGGUACUAAGAGACAGUUUCAUUCCCAUGACUUACUAAAAACUAGAUCAGAACCGAGAAGUGAACUUGAGGUCCCUGUCGAAUCCUACUGUCACUGGCACUCCAUGUAACCUGACUUCCAUGUCGGAUCCUACAGUCACUGGCACUCUAUAUAACCUGACUAUCUCCCGAAUAUACAUUCUUACUAGCAUGUCCAAUGAGUCGAUCAUCUUGAUGGCUAAGAAGUGAGAAGACUUAGUGAGCCGGUUAAUAAUUACCCAAAUAGCAUCAUGUCUUGAGCGUGCCUUAGGCAAUCCUGUCAAGAAAUCUAUUGUGAUGUGUUCCCACUUCCACUCUAGAAUCGAUAAUGGCUAAAGUAGUCCGCCUGAGCGUUGAUGCUCUGCCUUGACCUGCUGACACACUAGACACUUAGAAAUAAUGUCAACCACCUCUCUUUUCAUCAUGUUUCACCAAAAUCGAGUCGCAUACUUUGAUACACCUUAGUGCUUCUGGGAUGCAUGACAAAGUUUGAACUAUGAGCCUUUGUCAUGAUAUCCCUUUUCAGUUCACUGUCAUAUGAAACACUCUGUCCUAAAAUCUGAGUAACCCAUCAGCAGAUACUUGGAAUUCUGAAUUUACUCCCUAUUCUGUAUCUUUCCUGAGAGCUACUAAGGUGGCAUCGACGAAUUGCGCUUUUUUUAUUCUCUGGAUCAACUCAGGUUGAACAGUUAGGUGGGCUAAAUAUGUAACUCUCUUCAGGUCCUAAAUUCGUAUAUGUUAUGCGGCCCCCUAUUACCCUACAUUCUAAAACCAUUAUGUGAGUUAACAUACCUGCAUUUUUUCUGCUGAGUGCGUCGGCUACCACGUUGCCCUUGUCUGGGUGAUACAAAAUAUUGCAAUCAUAGUCCUUGAGGAGUUCUAUCAAUCGUCUCUGAUGUAUGUUGAUAUCUUUUUGAGUGAAUAUGUGUUUCAAGCUCUUAUGGUCGGUAUAGAUCUGAAAAGUCUCUCCAUACAAGUAAUGGCGCUAAGUCUUCAAGGCGUGGAUAAUCGUAGCAAGUUCUAAGCCAUGGGUAGGGUAAUUUUUCUCAUGACUCUUCAACUGCCUAAACCCAUAGGCACCUUCUCAUGCUAUAUCAUAACACAACCCAAUCCUAGGUAGGAGGUAUCACUAUAAACUGUAUAUCCACCUGUCCCACUCGGUAAGGCCAACACAGGUACAGUAGUCAACCACUUAUUUAGUUCUAAAAAGCCCCUUUCACAAUUCUCAUUCCACUCAAACUUGACGUUCUUCUUUGUGAGCCGAGUCAAAGGAGCAGUUAGACUCGAAAAUCUUUUCAUAAACUUGUGGUUAUUACCUACCAUCCCCAGAAAGCUACGAAUCUCUUUGAUCGAGGUCAAUUUCUCACAAAUGAGCACUACCUCAACUUUUUCGGGGUUCACUAACACUCCAUCCCUUAAUAUGAUGUGCCUUAGGAAUGUAGUCUUCUCAACCCAAAACCCACACUUACUUAACUUUGCAUACAACUUUUUUUCUCUAAGAACCUGCAAAAUCUGAGUAAGAUGGUAAGCAUGUUCCUCUCUGCUUUUGGAAUAGACCAGGACAUCAUUGAUAAAUACAAUGACAAACUAAUCCAGGAAUUAUCUAAAAACCAUGUUCAUCAAAUCUAUAAAGAUGGCUAGUGCGUUAGUUAGUCCAAGUAGCAUGACCAGGAACUCAUAGUGUCCGUACCUAGUUUGGAAAGCUGUUUUGGGAAUGCCUUCUGUCUUGAUCUUGACCUGAUGGUAACUUGAACGCAUGUCUAUUUUGGAGAAGACUUGGGUACCUUGCAACAUCAAAAAGGUCAUCAAUCCUGGGGACAUGGUACUUGUUCUUGAUCGUGAUCCUAUUCAGUCACCUGUAGUCAAUACAUAACCUUAAUGUCCCAUCAUCUUUCCUUACAAAUAUGACUCCAGCGCCCUAAGGAGACACACUAUGUUGGAUGAACCCACUAUCCUAUAAUUCAUUAAUCUGUUUCCUCAUCUCUUCCAUUUCAACAUGACUCAUGUGGUAAGGGGCAACCAAGAUAGGCUGGGUACUUGGCUGAAAAUCUAUGGUGAAUUCAACUUCUCUGUCCACUGUCAGUCUAGGUAGUUUAUCAGAAAACACAUCCGGGAAGUCUCAAACUACUAGAAUUUCUCGAAUGCAAAUUUCUUUUUUAAGUUUGCCUAGUUAGAGAAAACAGUCGAGUUAAAGCACUUGGUAAUAGGAAAAUUGUCAUGAGAGAAUAAUGUUUCAAAAAUUUUAUUAAUUUGUAAAUGACUCUUCAUUAGGAGGGUUGAAUACAAGUUUCUUGUGAAAAUAAUCUACGAUGGCAUGAUACAUUGAUAGCCAGUUUAUUCUUAGUAUUACAUCAAUGUCCCCCGUGUCAAUCUCUAUUAGGUCCACACUCAAUUUUUAACCUUAUAUAUCUAUGAUACAGUCUCUAUAUAUAACCUCUACUAGUAGUGCUCUACUCCUAGGAGUAGACACAAAUAACACAGAAUCAAGUCUUUCAGGUAAUACAUUCAAGUUUGGUGUAAAAUUAUGUGAGACAAAUGAAUGUGAGGUACCAGUAUCAAUUAAAACAUGUGCAAGAUGAUUACAGAUAGUGUACAAACCCUGUAUCAUGUCUGGGUUGGCUGCUACAUCUUACUGAGUGAGGUUGUAAGCUCUGUCCUAGAUAGGAGGUUUGGCCUGGUUCUGAUUUCUUGGGCACUCUCUCGCGUAAUGUUAGACACUCCCAUAUAUACGACAAGUAUUGUUGAGUCAAUAGCAGGGUCGGUCCCCAUGAUCCUUGCCACAGUGCUGGCAAGUCCUAUUGCGUCCUGUUGCCAGAAUAUGAGGAGGAGCCUAAGUCACUAGUCUAGAUCUCUUGUUCUGCUGAACAGGUGCAGUGGGUGCUGGUCUGCGGUGUAAAACUAGGGGCCUGAGGUUCCCUACUGCUGGAGAAAAAAUGCAAAGGUUCCUUUCUACUAGUUGUACCUUGGCUAGAACAGCUGAAUAGGUACUGAGCUUGAACACAUACAGUUGCUGUUAACCUCAAGAUGGAGGCCCCACUCAAACUUUUUUGCCUUUAUGCCUUCAUCCAUCAUGCUAUCAGGGGAAUACCGACCCAAAUCUAGGAACUUUCGAGCAUACUCUGAUACAUUCGUAUCACCCUGGACCAGGUGUGCAAACUCUAUUUUUUUCAUAUGUCAGAGAUACUCUGUAUUGAAGGCCAUUAAGAACUAUUCCCAAGUGACUGGAACAGGCAGGAUUGCCUACUUGAGUUGCCACCAAUUACUUGCCUCUCCCACCAACAUAUAGGUGGCGAGUAUAACUCUUUAUUCGAAAACCACCCCAAGAGUCGUGAAAGUAUUCUCUGUCUCAGCUAACUAGUACUCGGUCUCUUCAAAAGAGGAUACCCCUACAAAAGUAGAUGAGUUUAGUUUUUUAUACCUCUUAAUGUAGCCUGGGUCUAUCAUGGGUAGAACUGAGUCCUGUGGGAGAGGGACUGGAUUGUGCUGGGGAGGGACAGGAUGACCCUGUGGUGGUACUGGAUGAUACAGUGGAGGUACUAUAUUGUACUGUGAUAGUGUCAGGUAAUGCGGUUGGAACACCAGACUAUACUGUGGUGGUGCAAGAUGGUACUGUGGAGGAGUAAGAUUGUACCGAGGUGGCUCAGUAUCCUCCCGCUGCAGGGGUGGCUCAAACUAUGGUAGUGGGGGAGGGUCAAGUAGCUCCCUCCUUUCCUCCCGGGCUUGUUGGGCAAUGAUAAGUCUCUCCAGCAUUUCAAAUAGUCAAUCAACAUCCUCUCGAAGCGAACCCUUUCGGGCUGCUCAGUUUAGUGGAGGUCUUCCUCUCCUCAUCUAUAUGUAUCUGCAUUUCACAAAGAAUGGUUGAGUGAUAAUUCAUUUUUUGGUGUUAUUUUAGGUCCUUGUGUAAGGAAUAGUUUUGAGGAACGCGGCUCUGAUACCAACUGUAAAGGCCUGGAACUUAAAAGGAAAUAAAGUCAUAAAUUAAGUGAGAAAGCGAAAUAAUAGAGUUCAAGAUUUAGAUUCCUUAUAUAAUAAUUUAGAAUGCCCAAUAGGAAUACGGGAAUGACUAUUCUAAAAGAAUAAAUAAAAAUCAAAUAAAUAAAUAAAAGGCAAUAUGUUGAAUAUUUUUAGACGACCUUCACUAGCUUUUGAGUAAAAAUCAUAAAUAGAGCUCUUAAUUUAAGUAAAUUCAUUUAUCAUAAGGAAAAUCAUUUAUUGCAUAUAUUUACCAUUGUGAGAUUUCUAAAAUCAAACUAUAAAGACAAUAACUUAAAUAACAUUCUAAUCUCAUACUCAAGUGAGUAAGAACAACAACUUUUUUUUUUAUUUAUUUACUUGUACCCCUGGGGGUCCAUAAGAAUGUUCCACUAUGCGUGAACCAAUAUCCCACAUUGCCAAUUAAUCAGCCAUCGUCAUACCCCCUCCAGUAUAAGCGCCAAAAAUACCAUCCCUCACUACUCCGUCCGGUAUGAAGGGGAAUCGGGCCGUUCCUAUACCCCAUCCGGUAUGAGCACCAAAAAUAUUAUUUCUCGAUACCCCAUCUGGUAUGAGGCAACAUUUACGGUAGAGUUUUCUAUGUACCCGGUCCGUCCACUAUCUCCUAAGAUAUCCAAUAAGAUUAUCAUUCAUUAAUUUAUAUGACCAAAUAAUUUUUCGUUUGCAUAUUAAUUUUCAAUUUCACAAAUCAACCGUAAAUCAUGCAAUACAAGCACUAUAUAUCAAGGAAGCAUAAUUGAAUCAAUUUACUAUUCUUGUAUAUCAUCAUGUAUUUAAAACUGUAAAUUCAACAAUCAGUUAAAAAGAAAAAAUAAAUAACUAAAUAGUUCUGACCAUAUUUGUAACCUAUAAUUAUUCUCAAGGUUCUCUAAAUUACACAAAAUACCAUAUUAUCGAUUAUUAAGCUUCAAUUCCAUAACAGAGAAUAAAGUGAGAGAUUCUUACUCAAAUAGUGUCCGAAACACCGAACUUUUUACUGUGCCUACUAGUAGUCCCUUGGUUUAUUGAAUUUUUCUACGGAGAUUAAAACACACUUCACGUACCUAAAAAUACCUCAAAAAUCCUAAAUUGGUGUUAAAAAUUCUUUUUUAGCUAAUUUCGAGAUUCUAGCACGGUGGUACCAUCGCACUCUAGCGACAGCACCACUGCCCACGGUAGUGAUUUGCCUCAGUCUGGCCUUUUUGGCCUGUUUUGGUCGGUUUUGACCGGUUUUAUACCUAUUCCUGCAAGAAAACACAUUACGGGGUCUCGGUUGGCCAAAAAAAAAACAUAAACCUACAAGUGGCAGGAUCUUCCGGUGCGGUGGCUCUGCCGACUCACAUUCGCGGGUGGGCAUUUUUCUUUGAUUAACCUGUAGAAAACAUAACAGUGAACACAACAAUGAAAAAAUCGCACGAAACAGGAAACGAGAAGGGGCUCAUCGGAGGCGGUUGCAGAUUUUGCCCGCAACGGCGCCGCCGGGCAUUGCCUACAGUUUUCAGCUCACUUACUGUUCCUUUUGCUCCGAUUUUGCCAUGGGGGUGCUCAGAAUCAAAUUCUGAGCAAGUAGGAGAAUUUUUAUGUUUUUUGGCAGUCAGAGGUGGCUCAAGCGCGUCAGUGGUUGGCGGUCGACUCCUUUCUCUUACGACUGGUUCUUUUUCUCUUGUGGGAGGCUACCGGCUAGGGUUUAGGUUCGGUGUGAUGCGAGAUAUUUAUACCCGUCUCGUGUUAAUCUAGACCGUUCAUCGCAUUUGAUCUCAACUGUCCGAUCGCGCUUAAAAAGGAAACGAAUCUGGACUAUUCAUCGUAUUUAAUUGCAAUCGUCCGAUCAUGUUUAAAGAGCGAAUCUGGACCGUUCAUUGCAUUUGAUCGCGACCGUCUGAUUGCGCCUGAGGAGGGAACGGAUCCGAACCAUCCACGCACGCAGGAACACUUCCGGACUGUCUGAUUGAGGGGCACGGGAAUUGCCAGUGUGGUCUCCCGCGUGGCACCGAGUCAGUAAACCUUGCCAUGCGGCAUACUUUGGUUCGUUGUGGCUGCUGACUGGGCGGUCCUACGUGACAAAAUUUUUUUAAUUAUAUUUUGACCCUCAAUUUCUAAUUUUUCUUUCAAAAACACCAUCCGAACCUAAAUUUUCACCUUUUUUAAAAAAAGUAUUUUCAAUUUCAUCCUCAACCUAUUUUUUCAUUCCAUAUUAAAUUAAAAUUUAUUAAUUUCAGAAAUAGGUUUUUAUACAUUUUUUUAUGUUGAAAUUAAUCCCUGAGCAAAUUCUGGGUCUGUGUAUUACAACCCUCCUGCUUUAAGGAGGUUAUGAAUUCUCUAAACAGUAAAGAAUGGAUUGAUGCCAUGAGGGAUGAGAUGGACUUAAUGAUGAGAAAUAAGGUUUGGGAACUAGUUGAUUUCCUAUCUCGAUGUAAAUCAAUUGGAAACAAGUGGGUUUUGAAGAUAAAACAUGGAGCAGAUGGAUCAAUUGAAAAGUUUAAGGCCCAACUAAUGGCGAAAGGUUUUACCCAAAUUGAGGGUAUAGACUAUGAAGAGACUUUUUCUCCUAUGGUGAGAUUUGCCUCUAUUCACCUCCUUCUAGCCCUAAUUGCCCAUUUGGACUUCGAAUUAUUUUAAACGGAUGUUAAAACUGUUUUACUCAAUGGUCACUUGAGGAAGAAAUAUAUAUGGAUCAACCUAUUGGAUUUGUCUCAAAAGGUCAAGAAAACUAAGUUUGUCAUCUUGAAAGAUCCAUAUAUGGUCUCAAGCAGUCUUCCAGAAAAUGGUAUUUUAAAUUCCAUGAAGCCAUUACUUCGUGUGGCUUGUCUAGGGUACAUGAAGAACAUUGUGUGUAUGUCAAGAAAACAAUGGGAGGGGUUAUGUUUCUCUUCUUAUACGUUGAUAACAUACUAUUAGUUGGAAACAACAUGGAGAUGAUCAAUGCCACUAAGCAGUGGUUGUCCUCUGUUUUUUAGAUGAAGGACAAUUACGAAAUCAGGUGAAAUAAUUGCAUAACCAAGCUAAGAGCAUCAUUAUUCAAUGUCUAACCAAGCAUAUUGUAUCAUAUUCGACAUACCCGAACAUAUCAAAUAUCCAGUAGAAAUCAAACAAACAAUAUACUCAGUAAAUACAAGAACCAUCAUAUAAAUAAUUAUAGAGCUUCAACAAAUACAAGUAGCAUACUCAGUAAACAGAAGAACCAUCGUACAAAUCAUCAUAGAGAUUUAACUAGUACGAGCAGCAUACUUAAUAAACAGAAGAACCAUCAUACAAAUCAUCAUAGAGUUUUAAAUAAUAUCUUUAACCAUAUGUAUUUUUUAUUAAGUCUUUUACCAACCUUCGUGUGAAGUCGUUACAACAUAUAUCCACUGAAGGCAAAAGGGAUCCCCGACUACCACUAUGAAUCACCGACCCAUUCUUGGGCCAUUAUCGUUUUUCUAUCUAAACUAUGACCACAACCGUUCUUCACCACUGUGGCCCUAUAUGUACCUAACGCAUAUCCACUCUCAUUAGAGGGAACGUCGAUCAUCACAAUGAGUGGUUCACCAUUAUUUAUUCAAAUGAGGGAGAAACAAAAAUCCCUUAGAGAUAAGAAACAAAUAGAUUUUCUAUUCUUUCACUUAUUUAUUCCAUGUUCACAACAAAUUUUAUAUUCUUUUCGUAUGCAUAUUACAUGUUCAAUGUAACCAUUUCCAAACCUAAUAAGGAUUCUGCAACUUAUCUGGGCCGAAGGCUCAUAUCUGGCCUGAAGGCUCAUAUCCAGCCUGAAGGUUAAUUUCACGUAUUCGGCCUAAAGGCCCAUUUUACCCAAACUUGACCUUUGGGUCAUUGUCUUGAGUCAAGGCCCAUUAGAAUAACUCUCUUCGCCAUUACCAAGGUAAAGCGAAGGGCCAAACAUGAAUGCGAUUUACCAAUUAUCAUGUUUUCAUGCAUUAUGCUCAAUAUUUCUAUGGCUAAAUGAUUAUCAAUCACCGUAGAGACUUAUGCAUCAAACCUUUAUGUUUAAUAAUACCAUAUCUCACAUUUACAUAAACAACAUCAAUCUUGUAGAAGUUCAUGCAUCAUAAUCAAAUGGCAACUAUCAUGUGUCAUACCUUACAUAAUUAUAUUUAAGCAACUAGUCACCAAACAAGCACAUAAGUCCAUGCAUCAAAAUCAUAGAUAUUCCAAAUUAAUUUAACUAAAAAUGGCUCUUAGAAAUAUAAGAAUAAAUAUCAAAGAAUUUCCUUACCAUCAUAUUCAGUAUCCAUUUAUGACCAUCACAUCUUUAGAUCUAUCACAUAUCCAGAGCUAUUUUGCAUCCAAAACUUGAUGGGGGUUCAACAACAUAUUCGGUCAAAUGCCCAUUAAACACGAAGUUGACCAUCGGGAUAUUUUUUGAAGCCGGAGCUCCUUAGAACAACCCUC